UGGCCUCCACUCCUCGCCUCUGCGCCCGGUGUGUGGAAGGGCAAGUACGUGCAGGUUUUGUCUGCCAACCAGCUCCUCUCUGGGAUGCCCGAGGGCAGAGCCUCGGAGCCUGGCUCCGAAACGGCUGCCCACCUCCGCACUCACUCAAGGAAUGGUGGCCUUUAUCUUUUCAAGGACUUUGGAAGACCGGAUACGAAGCACGUGGGAUGUGGAAGGAAACAAGUCCAGUCCUAGAUCCUGUCCUCAUGAACACCCAAGGGCCAUUCAUACAUCUGUAGUCCAGUGUCCUCACAGUCUGAAGAGCAAGACAGUCAUUGCUUUGUUUUAUGAAUACUGGCCUCAGAAGCCUUGGGAAUGCUUUGGUGUUCUUCUACCCUUCAUGGCUGAGAGCUUUUCUCCCGAUGACCAACCUGAGCAACUGCUGUGUCAUACUUCAACUCAUUCUCAUCUGCCCUUGCCUCAUCCCUUCAGCAAGAACACUGGGUGUCUUAACCUGGUGGCUAGAGGAAGGCCAAGUUACCCAUGCAACCGAGGGAAGUGCUUGGGAAUAUAUUCAUGGAUCCCAGUAGAACUUGGUUGUUCUAUGACAAGUUCUGUAUGACUUGAAAAUGGGUCAAUUCUCAUGCCAAGGAAGGUGGGACCCCCAGGACUUAUCUACCAAGAAGCCAGGAGCUUUCUAGGCAUUGUGCCAAAGAGGGCUCUCAUUACCCACAAAGUAUCUUUCAUAAGCUGAGUGCCUGGAGAAGAUGAGGAGAAAGAGGACAAAAGACCUUGUCAUUAACCUUUUAGGUAAAUUAUAUACAUUCUCAAGAAACAGAGGGUCCAAUGAGAUGGGUUAGUGGGUAAAAGUGCUUGCCACCAGGCCUGAUGGCUUGAGUUUGAUCCCCAGAAAGCACAUGGUGGGAGGGGAAAAAACAACUCCUGUAAGUUGUCCUCUGACCUCCAGAUGUGCCCCCUGACACACACACACACACACACACACACACACACACACACACACCACAUACACACUAA